UACGUAGGUGGCAAGCGUUGUCCGGAUUUACUGGGCGUAAAGAGCGCGCAGGCGGUCGUUCAAGUCGCGUGUGAAAGCCCCCGGCUCAACUGGGGAGGGUCACGCGAUACUGAUCGACUCGAAGGCAGGAGAGGGUAGUGGAAUUCCCGGUGUAGUGGUGAAAUGCGUAGAUAUCGGGAGGAAUACCGAUGGCGAAGGCGGCAUCCUGGACCAACACUGACGCUGAUGAGCGAAAGCCAGGGGAGCAAACGGG
rnacentral:rRNA from 1 species